rnacentral:rRNA from 1 species
UUGAACGCUGGCGGCAGGCCUAACACAUGCAAGUCGAACGGCAGCACAGAAGAGCUUGCUCUUUGGGUGGCGAGUGGCGGACGGGUGAGUAAUGUCUGGGAAACUGCCCGAUGGAGGGGGAUAACUACUGGAAACGGUAGCUAAUACCGCAUAACGUCGCGAGACCAAAGUGGGGGACCUUCGGGCCUCACACCAUCGGAUGUGCCCAGAUGGGAUUAGCUAGUAGGUGGGGUAAUGGCUCACCUAGGCGACGAUCCCUAGCUGGUCUGAGAGGAUGACCAGCCACACUGGAACUGAGACACGGUCCAGACUCCUACGGGAGGCAGCAGUGGGGAAUAUUGCACAAUGGGCGCAAGCCUGAUGCAGCCAUGCCGCGUGUAUGAAGAAGGCCUUCGGGUUGUAAAGUACUUUCAGCGGGGAGGAAGGCGGUGAGGUUAAUAACCUCGCCGAUUGACGUUACCCGCAGAAGAAGCACCGGCUAACUCCGUGCCAGCAGCCGCGGUAAUACGGAGGGGUGCAAGCGUUAAUCGGAAUUACUGGGCGUAAAGCGCACGCAGGCGGUCUGUUAAGUCAGAUGUGAAAUCCCCCGGGCUUAACCUGGGAACUGCAUUUGAAACUGGCAGGCUUGAGUCUCGUAGAGGGGGGUAGAAUUCCCAGGUGUAGCGGUGAAAUGCGUAGAGAUCUGGAGGAAUACCGGUGGCGAAGGCGGCCCCCUGGACGAAGACUGACGCUCAGGUGCGAAAGCGUGGGGAGCAAACAGGAUUAGAUACCCUGGUAGUCCACGCCGUAAACGAUGUCGACUUGGAGGUUGUGCCCUUGAGGCGUGGCUUCCGGAGCUAACGCGUUAAGUCGACCGCCUGGGGAGUACGGCCGCAAGGUUAAAACUCAAAUGAAUUGACGGGGGCCCGCACAAGCGGUGGAGCAUGUGGUUUAAUUCGAUGCAACGCGAAGAACCUUACCUGGCCUUGACAUCCAGAGAACUUAGCAGAGAUGCUUUGGUGCCUUCGGGAACUCUGAGACAGGUGCUGCAUGGCUGUCGUCAGCUCGUGUUGUGAAAUGUUGGGUUAAGUCCCGCAACGAGCGCAACCCUUAUCCUUUGUUGCCAGCGGCUCGGCCGGGAACUCAAAGGAGACUGCCGGUGAUAAACCGGAGGAAGGUGGGGAUGACGUCAAGUCAUCAUGGCCCUUACGGCCAGGGCUACACACGUGCUACAAUGGCGCAUACAAAGAGAAGCGACCUCGCGAGAGCAAGCGGACCUCAUAAAGUGCGUCGUAGUCCGGAUUGGAGUCUGCAACUCGACUCCAUGAAGUCGGAAUCGCUAGUAAUCGUAGAUCAGAAUGCUACGGUGAAUACGUUCCCGGGCCUUGUACUCACCGC